ACUACAAUAAAGAACCAUGUAAUCUAUUAUUUUUUUAUGUUUUUCAUGUAUACCAUCCAAACACCUCUUUUGUAAUUCAUCGGGUUUUUUAUUCCCAUUAUUUUUAUUAUCGUGUUUUUGCAUUACUGUGAAGCAUAUAAGCUUUUAAGUUGUGAGCGAGUUCAAUUAGACCCCAGUGGCGGUACUAGCACCGAACACUUGUGUUGUCACUAUGUUUUAAUACGCCUUAAAAUCAUGAGGACUAAGUUGCAAUAUUUGAAGAAAAAACAUACAUGUGCUUUAGGCAUAGCUGUGAUGUCACUUGACAAAACAGCUAGCAUGUCGCGCCGCUACGGGUCGAGCCCCUUGUUCCUUACAAGUGGGCUAACAGCGUAUCCAAAAUUGGGCGAGCAUAGCGAAAAAACAUACAAAGGUUGUUGCCCAAGAAAAACAGAAAGAGAGUGUUCUAAAAAUAGAGAGACGUGCAGGCAGAUAGAUAGAUAGAUAAGUAGAUAGUCAGACAACCAUCUGGCCUAAUAAAUAGAUAGACAAGUUAACUGGCCAUAAAAAUAUUAUAUAAUUUGCUUGCUCAAAAAAUAAAUAGAUAGAUAGAUAGAUACAUAGAUAGAUAGACACAAACAUCUAGCCUGCAAAUAGAUAGAUGAGAUAAGAUAGGUGGACAUGAAUACUAUUAUAUAAAUUGCAUCACUCCGAAAAUAUAGACAGAUAGCUAGAUAGGGCGCAGAUUGAUAGAUAAAGAACACCAUGUACAGACUGCGGCCCCAAAAAAUUAAAAAAACGGUUGCUAUUGAAAACAAAGCGGGAAUUGAGAGUAGCAUGCCAACACAAGACAUGCCAAAAAAAAAGGGCAAGACAGAUCUAUUUGCAUAACAGGACAUAUACUCCUGCAAUAAACAAAAACUCAAGGAGUACCUGAGUCUAGAUUAUUGUGCUCUAUAUAAACAUGAGGGGAGGAGCUUUGUCAAGCACACUAAAACAAAAGAAGGAAGAGUACACAUAUUCUCUCGCCCUCAUGGCACUGCAAAAGCAAUGCGAGGAAGACUGUGCGCUCUAUGUCUAUUGUUUUUCUGGUCCUUGCUACGAUGUUGUACACAUUGCCGUCCUGCCAUGCACGUAAGUAGGCGAACAACAUGCAUUUUUUACUCUAUAUUUUUUUCGAAAGCUCAAAAAAUGUAUGUACCGUUGUAUGUGCAGUUUCUCCGGUGACAUGCGAGAACUUAGAACGCUGCACUGUUCCCAAGUGCAUGGACGAAUGCAAGGCGAGAGGCCUGGGGUAUUUCGUUGCCUAUUGCCACCACAACCACAAUCAAGAUGUUCAGUGCUGCUGCAGACAUUUCGCGGAGUGACAAACAAGAUGUUCCCCGCGUUUGAACGACCCAAGUCGUGUUGCAUUGAUCCGUGCAAUACAAACUGAAUAAGGUGUUGCCCUAGACAAUAUAAAUAUAAUUGAUGGCAUCUGCCUCAAAGACCGUCUUACUGUGAUGAUCUGAGCAAAAUCGUGACCCAAUCAAGAAACCAAAAGCACCCUAGAAUUAAAAGAGAAAAGUGAAAACAAAACUGUAGUUCCUUUUGGAUUACAUCGUAGCAGUGGUGGUUUUAAGCAAAAUCCACUACUACAGAAAGGUUUAUAACUAACGGUCGAAAAACAGCAUCAGUAACGGGCGGGCCCGCCGUUACUAACUUCGUGUUACUGAUGAUGGUCAACAUCGACGACCGUUACUGAUGUACCAUCUUCAGUGACGGGCUCCAAAUGAAGCCCGACGCUGAUAACAUUCUCAUGAUUUUUAAAAAAAAAGAAGGCACAUGGCCUGCAAAUUUUGGUCGCGGAUGAACAAAUCACAAAAUCACAGGGUAUAGCAUCUGGCAAAAUCAGAUUGAUCACACAAGAACUGGUACACAUGAGAGAAAAUGGACAAACAAUUAUAAAAAAUCUGCAACUGCUCCACGACGCGAUGGCUGCGGUUCCGGCUCCAUGACGGCGAGGGCUGCGGUUUCGGCUCUCCACGACGAUGGCUGAGGUCAGGGAUGCCGGCUCUGCAGGAGCUGCCACCCGACCUACUCAUCCUCAUGGGCGCCGAUGGGGAUCUGCGGUAGUGAAAGAGAUCGAGGGAGAGAAAAGAAAUCGAGAGAGGUAGAGAGAGACUAACCGUGAGAGGGAGAGGGGGAUUCGGUGGUGCGUGGGGUCGGGGGCGCCAGAUCCGGCGGCAGCCAGGGUCGAGGUCGCCUAGCAGCGGUCGAGGUCGUACCUGGCGUACCUAGCGGCGGUCGAGGUCGAAGAUGAGACGUAGAAGGGGAGAGGCGCCCGCCGGCGGAGAUGAGUGAGAGAAGAGAGAGAACACCUACUCCUCGACACCGACAUCCUGCAAGAGUGAGAGAAGAGAGAGAGAGAGGGAAACCGAGAGGGAGAUAGGGAACCGAGAGAAGGAGACGAACCUGCGGGGCGAGGGGCGGUGGCUGACCGGAUCCGCGGCGGCGGGGCAGUCGCUGGUCGGAUCCAGCAACGUCGAGGCCCGGGAAGGCCCGCGGCACGACGGAGUCCGGCGUUGGGGGAGGGCAGUACAGCAGCAGCUCCUGGGCGGCGGGGCGGAGUCCGGCGUUGGUGGAGGGUGGUGCAGCGGCAGCUCCUUGGCGGCGCGGCGGGGUCCGGCUUUCGAGGAGGCCGAUGCAGUGGCAGGCAGCAGCUCCUUGGGGGCGGCUCCUUGGUGGUGUGGGCAUCGGGCCAGAUGAGAUCAAGGUGGAGAUUGUGCUGUACAUGAGUGAGAGAGGAAAGGAGAAGGAGAAAGAGAAGCCACGGUCCAUGAAGGAGAUAAGGAUACAAGGAGUGUGCGGCCGUGUGGGAUAAGGAGAGACAGAGAGGGUGCUGUACAGGUCAUCGAUCCUAGCAUGUUGCCUUUCCACCAAUAACGUGCGAGCACACGGAUCAAUCGUUGCUGCAGUUUCCAUCGACUAGCACACAUCAGUAACGGGUGAUAUUGUUAGGACCGCCAUUGGUGCCCCACUUUUGCAUUUAGAAAAUAGAAAAAUAUUUUUUAAAAGAAAACGUUGUAAACCUAUUUGACAAUAUUGUUUGUUGAGAGAUGCACCUAUGUGCAAAAAAUGGAUUCGUUAUCAUGAACUAUGACGUACAAAUGGCCAGCUUUAAACUCAUAAACAUUCAUACCUGGUAGGCCAUUUUGCAAAAUAUUUUUUCUAACAGUUGAAAAAAAUGCACACUUGUGGCAAACAAUGAAUACAUAUCAUCAACUAUGGCAUAGAAAUGGACAAAACUUUGGUCAUUUGCUUAAAAGCUAAAGUUCAACUAUUGGAAAUAACAAGAUUGUACUAAAUAACUCAUUUUUGAAAUGUUACCUAUUGAUGUUAUUGUUCCACUAUGUUAAGCAACGAAAAAAUAAGACUUUAGCAAAAAGAAUCACAUUUUUCUGGAUUUUUAUGAAUUAGUUAUGAUUUUUUUCAAUCUUCAAAUGUCUGCUGGGGUCAUCAGUGACGGGUUUUAUGCGUCCGUCACUGAGACUCGUCACAUAUGCACUGUUUUGUAGUACUGAUCGCCGUAUAUAUAUUACCAUGCAGGCAACACCAUUUGCUAGCAACAUCAUCUCCUCUGACAUGUAGCGGAAUGCGGAAGCGGGAAGCCAUGGUGCACCGGUAGCAAGGUGGCAUGGCAUGGGUGAGCUCUCCAAUCUCCGUGAGAAGAAACGAGGCCUGCACAAAUUAAGUUGUAGAGGCAUCGGGUUCCAUGGUUUAAAACCGUCGUGACACAUGACCCCUCGGAAGCAAACCGGCUUCUUAGUGUUUCCAAGGUUGUUCGACGGUCUGCGCACAAGGAAGCAAGAACGGGGAGCCGAGAGACGGGUGUGCUUGUUUUUUGAGGGACGAGAAGGGUGUGUUUGGUUGGUGAGUACUGCACAGCAGGUUUCGUUUCGGAUUUUUUUUCAUUGUUUGGGCUCGUUCCGUUUUUUCUUUAAUUGUUUUGGCAGUACACUUUGGAAGAACGAGCAUCGACUUUUGGGCCGAUGGUUUUCGUGUGUCCAAAGAUGUUACAUCUGUCACAAAGUCAACUAGCAGACCGCCGUGACAAAGUCACGUAACCUCGAUGGCCCUUCACCUCCGUCGUACCAGGCUGCUGCUGGGCCGGACGGCCCACAUCUGCUGGCCCGUUGGACUAGUCCGAUGCAUGGAUGUUGGGUGAGCAUAGAGAACAAACAUACAAAGGUUGUUGCCCAAGAAAAACAGAAAGAGAGUGUUCUAAAAAUAGAGAGACGGGCAGACAGAUAGCUAGAUAAGUAGAUAGUCAGACAACCAUCUAGCCUAAAAAAUAGAUAGACAAGACAACUGGCCAUAAAAAUAUUAUAUAAUUUGCUUGCUCAAAAAAUAGAUAGAUAGCAUCUGGCCUGCAAAUAGAUAGAUAAGAUAAGAUAGGUGGCCACGAAUAAUAUUAUAUAAAUUGCAUCACUCCGAAAAUAUAGACAGAUAGCUAGAUAGGGCGCAGAUAGAUAGAUAAAUAGACAUAGACAUUUGGCUUAAAAAAAUUAAAAAGAGGAUAUACAUACAGAUAGAACACCAUGUAGAGACUGCGGCCCAAAAAAAUUAAAAAAACGGUUGCUAUUGAAAACAAAGCGGGAAUUGAGAGUAGCAUGCCAACACAAGACAUGCCAAAAAAAAAGGGCAAGACAGAUCUAUUUGCAUAACAGGACAUAUACUCCUGCAAUAAACAAAAACUCAAGGAGUACCUGAGUCUAGAUUAUUGUGCCUCUAUAUAAACAUGAGGGGAGGAGCUUUGUCAAGCACACUAAAACAAAAGAAGGAAGAGUACACAUAUUCUCUCGCCCUCAUGGCACUGCAAAAGCAAUGCGAGGAAGACUGUGCGCUCUAUGUCUAUUGCUUUUCUGGUCCUUGCUACGAUGUUGUACACAUUGCCG
rnacentral:lncRNA from 1 species